AGUCAACAUGCCCAGGGGACGUGGAUAACCUCGGGAAACUGAGGAUAAACCGCGAUAGGUCACUACUUCUGGAAUGGGUAAUGACCCAAACCUAUAUGGCCCCUGGAUUGGACUGCGGCCGAUCAGGCUGUUGGUGAGGUAAUGGCCCACCAAACCUGUAACCGGUACGGGCUCUGAGAGGAGGAGCCCGGAGAUGGGCACUGAGACAAGGGCCCAGGCCCUAUGGGGCGCAGCAGGCGCGAAACCUCUGCAAUAGGCGAAAGCUUGACAGGGUUACUCUGAGUGAUUUCCGUUAAGGAGAUCUUUUGGCACCUCUAAAAAUGGUGCAGAAUAAGGGGUGGGCAAGUCUGGUGUCAGCCGCCGCGGUAAUACCAGCACCCCGAGUGGUCGGGACGUUUAUUGGGCCUAAAGCAUCCGUAGCCGGUUCUACAAGUCUUCUGUUAAAUCCACCUGCUCAACAGAUGGGCUGCGGAAGAUACUAUGGAGCUAGGAGGCGGGAGAGGCAAGCGGUACUCGAUGGGUAGGGGUAAAAUCCGUUGAUC
rnacentral:rRNA from 1 species